GAUGAAGAACGCAGCGAAAUGCGAUAAGUAGUGUGAAUUGCAGAAUUCAGUGAAUCAUCGAAUCUUUGAACGCACAUUGCGCCCCUUGGUAUCCCGAGGGGCAUGCCUGUUCGAGCGUCAUUUCACCACUCAAGCCUGGCUUGGUGUUGGGCGACGUCCCCUUUGGGGACGCGCCUCGAAACGCUCGGCGGCGUGGCACCGGCUUUAAGCGUAGCAGAAUCUUUCGCUUUGGAAGUCGGGGCCCCGUCUGCCGGAAGACCUACUCGCAAGGUUGACCUCGGAUCAGGCAGGGAUACCCGCUGAACUUAAUCAUAUCAAUAAGCGGAGGA
rnacentral:misc_RNA from 1 species